AUUGAACGCUGGCGGCAGGCCUAACACAUGCAAGUCGAGCGGAGCGGCGGACGCGUGCGUAAUGCCAAGGAAUCUGCCUGGUAGUGGGGGAUAACGUCCGGCAACGGGCGCUAAUACCGCAUCCUAUCAGAUGAGCCUAGGUCGGAUUAGCUAGUUGGUGGGGGAAAGGCCUACCAAGGCGACGACCCGUAACUGGUCUGAGAGGAUGAGCAGGCACACUGGAACUGGGACACGGUCCAGACUCCUACGGGAGGCAGCAGUGGGGAAUAUUGUACAAUGGGCGAAAGCCUGAGCCAGCCAUGCCGCGUGUGUGAAGAAGGUCUUCGGAUUGUAAAGCACUUUAAGUUGGGAGGCGUUACCAACAGAAUAAGCACCGGCUAACUUCGUGCCAGCAGCCGCGGUAAUUC
rnacentral:rRNA from 1 species